AAACUCUAAUCCGAUUGGAUUAGGUCAGCUCAAGAGUCUCAAUUAAUUAGGAUUCUUCUUAAUUGAUUUUAGAAUUAAAUUCUUUUAAUUCUGGGGAGUCUACAAGUCAAGAUUGACGUCUAGUAAUGUAUCAUGACUAUCUGGAAGAUUUGAAAUUUGGUGAAAAUACCAAAAUUAUCCUUCCAUGAUGAGUUACCAUGCAAUUCAAUCCUUCGAUCACACAACAUCCCGGAAAGGCUAUGGGUUUGGAAAUAUGUCAAACCCAAAUACCUAACCAUAUGUAUCUCGAUCAGAUGAUGAUGACUCGGUUGAUGAACUAGUAAAAAUUAUUUCUUCUGUUCAUCCCUGCUCUGGCCAGAGACUUUCAGAGUCACCAUCCUAUGAGAUCAUAUAGGAUGUUCUCUCCUCUUACAAGGAGUGAUCGAUUCUUUGUUGACCACUCACAACCUCCAUGCACACUUUGCCAUACUCAAAAUAUCCCAUACACACUCAAAGUGGUGUGCUAGUGAAUAAACCAAAAUAAG
rnacentral:lncRNA from 1 species